UGGCCGUCGAAUGUGGUGGCACAGCGUCGGACAGAGGCUCCUCCAGGGACCAGGGACUGUAGGCUAAUCUGUCUGUUUCGCCAGGCCUGUUAAUCCGCCUGCUGUGGAGGCCGCUCAGCGCAGGGGCGGAGGAGUGACCCGGUAGCCCAACUGGUGCUCAGAGUGUCCACCCCAGUACCCGGAAAUGCUCAGUCCGGUGUAGAGGUGCUGCGCUGGGAGGAAGUGACACUUAGACUGAGCUCUGAAGACUGGAAGAAAUCGGUUGGGAUGAAGAAAAGACCAGUGGGAAGAGAGUUUUCUAGCCAAAGGAAACAACAUGUGUCAAGGCUCUGAGAAUGGAGGGAACAUAACAAUGGCAGGUGACAAUUAGUACUUACCAUCGACCAGCCAUUUUCUGUGUGUUGUGUAUCAGUUCUUUCAUGCAGCUACAUUGUCAUGGGGUAGAUAUUGAAACACCUGAGUUUUUCGUUUUGUUUUUAUUUUUGUUUUUGUUUGUUUUGUUUUUUCUAGGGCC